CAAGAUACUUUCAAAGCUGGAGCAGGGGGAACAAAGGCUCUAUGUGAUGUUUUUGCCCGGACCAGGUCAGGAAUGCUCUUCAGAACUUCUGUUAAGUUAAAAUUACAAAAGAAACUGACAUCCCCUGUGUGAGGACACCAGGAGUUAUGGAACAUGCCAAGAGACCCACCAUGAGGUAUCUCCUGAGCAACUACAAGCUGGAGUGAAGAUGCAGAACAUUUCAUGGACAACUUUGUGCUGCUGAUUGCGGAGUGCAUAACAGUGAGUCAAAUUUGCACAGGGAUCACAUGAAUAACCAAGAGCAAUGAGCAGUUUCCAAAAUAUUUGAGAAGAUUGGGCUGUAAAGUCCUUAAGAGAACAUAAAUUAGACCAGCAGCAGUCAUGGACAGAGCUCCGGUACUCUGACAUCAGAUGUAGAAUAGCUGGAAGAAGAUGUGUGUUUAAAAUCAAUAUGAUGGACAAUAAGCCAUAUGUAGAGAUUAAUGUUUAACUUUCUAUACUUUGUUUGUGCACCUCUCUCUCUCUCUCUCAAAGUACCUUCUCAUAGGAGGCUAAAGAUGUUUCCCUGCCUUGUGAAAAAUAAUAAUGAAACAGGAUUUCCAUUUUUAGGUUAAGAUGAUAAAGCUACAACAAAGCAA